AGAAUGUUUCUGGUCUGCGGGAGGAAGCUGGAGACGACCUGAAAAUGAACCAGGAGAACAUGCUAACUCCACACACAGAGGGAUUUGAACCUUCUCACUGAGGAUCAAAUCUGCAGAAUCUCUGCUGGUUUGCAGCAAAGAUCAGGAACAGAGAGGACCACAAUGACCAGGGUUAAACCAGAUGAUGGAUGAGCUGCGGACUCCUCUGGGUCACCUUUAUACAGAUGUCCUGGUCCACGUCCUGGGACACCCCGUCGGCCUCCUGGUCCCCCCGCGAGCUGAAGUUGUUCCAGUCGUCCCUCGCCGGGCGCUUCCUGUUCACCACCUUCAGGGGCUGCAGGCAGCGGGACAGAAAGGAGGACGAAGGGAGACUUUCAGAGGAGAACUACAGGAGGGAGGUAUGACAUCCAGCAGAGGAGGAGGAGGAGGAGGAGGAGGAGGAGGAGGACGGUCAGGUGGAAGGAGAGACGUUUAAAGCAGAAGCAGACAGACGGAGGCUGAGGAGAGAAAUAAGUAUCACCUCGAUUUGUACCUGUGUAAUUCUUGAUUGAUACGUUUUUGUGCAAUUAUUAUACUUAUGCACAAAAUCAAGGAAUCAAGAAAUCGGGGUGAUACUUAUCGAGGCGAGCGCUCAAUCGUGCGUCCUCACCACGGCCUGGUACUUGUUCUGGUUGUGGUUGCUGGAGCCAGAGGUCAGCGUGGCUUUGGGCUCCUGCUCAUCUCCAAUCUCAUCACAGGAAUAAAACUCGCUGAGCUUCUGGACACUGAAACACAACUGGAGCGCACCACGCUGGACAGGAGGAAGAGGGGCGUGACCAGGAUGUGGAAGAGGGACAAAGAGGCGAAGGCCACGGCCGGAGACAGGUCGGCGUCCUCGGAGAUGUGAACGUGGACCACGAACGUCUGCAGGACGACAGAGGGAUCGGGUUAGUCUGAGAACCCCCCCCGGAGAGACGGGUCUGACGGGGAGGGGGGGUCAUCAUAUCAAAGCUGAACCAUGCCGACAUGACUUAUCGCUACACGACCCCCUCCAGGUCAGUGACCCGGCCCGCUCUCUGUCCUUCACUCGGACGUGGAGCAUGCGCAGACGCAUGCGGAGCUGCAGCUGCAGACUCACCGUCAGCACGGCCGCUAUGGGGAUGGCUGCAUUCAUGAAAACUGGAGGCAGAAACAGAACAGGAAGUGAGGCGAUCAGGAGAAACGCAAACC
rnacentral:lncRNA from 1 species